rnacentral:misc_RNA from 1 species
UGGAAGUAAAAGUCGUAACAAGGUCUCCGUUGGUGAACCAGCGGAGGGAUCAUUACAGAGUUUACAACUCCCAAACCCUUAUGUGAACAUACCACGAUGUUGCUUCGGCGGACUCGCCCCGGCGUCCGGACGGCCUAGCGCCGCCCGCGGCCCGGAUCCAGGCGGCCGCCGGAGACCACCAAAACUAUUUUGUAUCAGCAGUUUUUUCUGAAUCCGCCGCAAGGCAAAACAAAUGAAUCAAAACUUUCAACAACGGAUCUCUUGGUUCUGGCAUCGAUGAAGAACGCAGCGAAAUGCGAUAAGUAAUGUGAAUUGCAGAAUUCAGUGAAUCAUCGAAUCUUUGAACGCACAUUGCGCCCGCCAGCAUUCUGGCGGGCAUGCCUGUUCGAGCGUCAUUUCAACCCUCGACUUCCCUUUGGGGAAAUCGGCGUUGGGGACUGGCAGCAUACCGCCGGCCCCGAAAUGGAGUGGCGGCCCGUCCGCGGCGACCUCUGCGUAGUAAUCCAACCUCGCACCGGAACCCCGACGUGGCCACGCCGUAAAACACCCCACUUUCUGAACGUUGACCUCGGAUCAGGUAGGAAUACCCGCUGAACUUAAGCAUAUCAAUAAGCGGAGGA